rnacentral:piRNA from 1 species
UGGAACAUCUUGGGUUGGCUUGGAGGUCC